rnacentral:rRNA from 1 species
GACGAACGCUGGCGGCGUGCCUAAUACAUGCAAGUGGGACGCAAGGACACACACUGUGCUUGCACACCGUGUUUUCUUGAGUCGCGAACGGGUGAGUAACGCGUAGGUAACCUGCCUAUUAGCGGGGGAUAACUAUUGGAAACGAUAGCUAAUACCGCAUAAUAUUAAUUAUUGCAUGAUAAUUGAUUGACAGAUGCAAGCGCAUCACUAGUAGAUGGACCUGCGUUGUAUUAGCUAGUUGGUAAGGUAAGAGCUUACCAAGGCGACGAUACAUAGCCGACCUGAGAGGGUGAUCGGCCACACUGGGACUGAGACACGGCCCAGACUCCUACGGGAGGCAGCAGUAGGGAAGCUUCGGCAAUGGACGAAAGUCUGACCGAGCAACGCCGCGUGAGUGAAGAAGGUUUUCGGAUCGUAAAGCUCUGUUGUAAGUCAAGAACGUGUGUGAGAGUGGAAAGUUCACACAGUGACGGUAGCUUACCAGAAAGGGACGGCUAACUACGUG